AUAAGCGUGGCUGAUGACAGCAUUAGACUAGAGUCUCUGAAUUACCAGUGAUGCUUUAGUAAACGCUCUGACACGCUUGAC